GAGAGCAAGAUGGAGGAAGUUGACUGAGGUUGUUGUUAUGGUUUCGUUUUGUCCUCAACCCUGAGAGUUAGCAAAUGAGUGUGUCUGCUCUAGUAGUCUUUUGAACUUUAUCUUGUUAUAGUCUUUUUAUGUUAUGAACAUUUUGUACUUAAGUGGAUGUGUGGAUAUGGCUUAAUGAUAAUCCUGGGUUCUGUUUAUGUUGGGU
rnacentral:misc_RNA from 1 species